GGGCUGUCACCUCAUCGGCAGCUGUGGAGUUGAGGAUGUCAGAGUCAUCAUAGGACGUGUCCUCGGGUGAGGAAGGUGAGUCCUCGUCGGCACUCAGCAUGCUGUGCUCCGUGUAGGUGGCCACGUGGACCUGCUGCACCUGCUGGGCCACUGCGUGGGCCUCGAUGGUGGCCAUGUGUUCUGUUUGAGUCACGCCGUGUUCUUCCAUCAAUAGGUACUCAGAGCGGCUGCGCUGCGGCGGGCCUGCGCCGUGCGGCCUCCGGCGGGCGGCGGCCGGGGACGGGGAGAGCGAGAGGAGAGGGGGGAAAGCGGCGCGGC
rnacentral:lncRNA from 1 species